rnacentral:lncRNA from 1 species
AUUGAUUAAAAUAAAGUAAUAAAAUUGCAUGCUGUCUUAAAAUGAGAACCCCACGGAGUAUCACCUGCGCUUUGAAGUCCAAGUUCUUGAUUUAAACCACUUCAUGUAUGAACUUCACCAAGCACUAGUAGUUCCUCUAAUUUUUCUGCUUGAUCAUCUCGAAGCAUCUCCCUAUGCUUGAAAGAACCCCCAACAAUAUUUAAAACAUUUGCAAGAAUAUCAAAAAAUUGUUCGGCC